ACAGUGAGCAGGACUGGGCCUCCCCAGGUCCCCCACGCUAACGGCUCCUUACUCCAAUUUUUUUCCUCCAAUUUGGGCCCGGGCCCGCGCGAGGAGCUCAGCAAUGCCAGGAAUGUCCCUUCCCGGCACAGCAGCGCUUUCAUUCGGCAUUCCCGCCGCAUCCCUCCCCGAGCAAGGGGGGAAAGUGCUGUUUGUUUAUUUUUUAUUAACCUACACACACGCACGGGGCAGGACGCACACGCACCGCAGGCCUCCAGGAAAAUCCAAUUAAACCAGGAUUCCAAGGAGGGAGCUGCGCGCCGGAGCCUCCACCGGUGGCCGCUUCCCGGCGGGAAUGGAGGCGAGGUGGGGGGGCUGCCAAGUUAUCAACCCACCGAGAGAGGAGCGAAAUCAAAGCCGCCCCCUCUUUUCCAUGAGCGCCGGGCUCGCUGGAGCUGUAAAUGUGAGAAUUUCCUCCGCAGUCAGCACUCCAAGGGAAAGGAUCCCUUGCAGGACAGGAGUGCUGAAUUCCAGCUUCCCGCUGGAAUUGGAUCCCCUGAAAACAGAGGCUGCGGGAUCCCCAAGAUCAGGUUUGUUCUCCUCUCUUUAUGGCUCCUUUCACCCCAGAAACAACACUCCCAAAAUCCCGGGUUUUCCAGGUGGAAAUGGGAAUUGAAGAGGUCGACAAGGACAAGAUGGGAUCAGAUGGGACGAGGAUGGAGGGAGAAGCCAGGGUGGGACAAGAGUAGGAUGGGGAGAUCAACCGGAGCAUGGAGCAGGAGCUGGAAUGAUCCCACCAACGCUUCCCAGAGAGUUCCAGCAGGAGCUCCAAUCCCAAGGGAUGACAUUCAUCCCUCAUGGGUGUGGGCAGGGACAGGGAUCUGCCACCAAAAUCCCGGAGCAAAGACCGUGCUCAGCCACCGAGGUCACUCCCGUGAGGAACCUGGAGGUGAUUCCAGACAAAAAUUCCACUGUGGAGCUCUGGCUCCAGCAGGGGUGGCCCAGAUCCUUCUCCAACAUCAACACAAACUCCGUGAUCCAGCAGCAGGAACAGCCUGGCUGGGAUAAAUAUCCCAGAAAAGCGGAAGAGGAAUUUGGAGCUGCCAUUGUUGAUUCCUUGUGAACUGCUCUGGUCACCCAGCUCUGCCCGGGCCAGCCCCGGGAACAUCUGCAGUGAAGCCAUUCCACGGCACAGGAAUUUUCCCCAUUCCCAGCCCUCCAUCCUGCCCCUCAUCCCUGCUCCAGGCUGACUCCAAACCCUCUCUGUAAGCCAAGAGUUCAUUUCCCAAAACAGGGACAUUUUCCUCAACUUAUCGGAAUUUUCAGUGCCAGUGACAUCUGAAGUUGAAGGCAUUCCCUGCCGCAGGAAUUCUCUGUUCCCAGCCUCCCAUCCCUGCCCCAAGCUGAUUCCAUAUCCUGCGAUUCCCUGUCUAUAACUGGGGAGUUCAUUUCCCAAAGCAGGGAAUUAAUAGUAAUUUUGAAAAACUCCUGGAGGGGAAAUUGGAUAAAUUUGGGAUGGGAAAAGGCAGCGAGUUUCCAUAGUUAGGAUUGGGGUCCUCCUGAGCACCUCCUGCAUCCCAGGAUCCUUUACCAACACCGAUGGGAUCAAUACUUCUGGAUAUUCUAAUAGGGAACAGGAUAACGAAUCCAUAAAGAUCCCAAAAAACAGCGGGGACAUGGAAACAGGAAAGAGAGAAGAGCUCCA
rnacentral:lncRNA from 1 species